GCCAGGCGUGGUGGUGCACGCCUGUAAUCCCAACGGCUCUGAAGGCUGAGGCAGGAGGAUCGCAAGUUCAAAGCCAGCCUCAACAAAAGUGAAGCGGUAAGCAACUCAGUGAGACCCUGUCUCUA
rnacentral:sRNA from 1 species